CGGCGGCGGGCGGAAAUCGGGGGCGCAGGGUGAGUAACGCGUGGGUAACCUGCCCUUGAAUCUGGGAUAACUCCGUGAAAACGGGACUAAUACCGGAUAUUAUCCCUUUGGCUGUGGCCCUAGGGAUGAAAGGUGACCUCUCCAUGGAAGUUGCCGUUUGAGGAGGGGCCCGCGUACCAUUAGCUUGUUGGUGGGGUAAUGGCCUACCAAGGCGACGAUGGUUAGCUGGUCUGAGAGGAUGAUCAGCCACACUGGAACUGAAACACGGUCCAGACUCCUACGGGAGGCAGCAGUGAGGAAUUUUGCGCAAUGGGGGAAACCCUGACGCAGCAACGCCGCGUGAGUGAAGAAGGCCCUCGGGUCGUAAAGCUCUGUCAAGUGGGAAAAAAUGCUUUCGGUUAAUACCCGGGAGUCUUGAUGGUACCACUGGAGGAAGCACCGGCUAACUCCGUGCCAGCAGCCGCGGUAAUACGGAGGGUGCAAGCGUUGUUCGGAAUUACUGGGCGUAAAGAGCGUGUAGGCGGCUUGGUAAGUCAGAUGUGAAAGCCCUGGGCUCAACCCAGGAAGUGCAUUUGAAACUGCCAUGCUUGAGUAUGGGAGAGGAGAGUGGAAUUCCCAGUGUAGAGGUGAAAUUCGUAGAUAUUGGGAGGAACGCCCGUGGCGAAGGCGACUCUCUGGA
rnacentral:rRNA from 1 species